rnacentral:misc_RNA from 1 species
AGCCAUCAACUCCUCCCCGUUUUUCGUGCGGGCCGCGUGUUGGACGUGGGGGCUUGCAGCCGCGAGGCCGCUCCCCUCAAAUGCAUCGGUUUGGCCUGUGGGUCAAACUCGACUGGGCGUUGUACAAACCUCGCUCUGGGUCCGAGCCCACCUUUGCGUGCCCUACCCAGACCUGCCUUCUGGAGUGGCGGUCAAACCCUUUUGCA